AUACCGUGACACCUGGCCUCCACCACUGCCAAGAAUUUUACUCAGCCACGGAGGGUAGAAUUGACAACGGAGUUUUAUAUUCAUGUGUGCAAAUGACUCAUUAAAAAAUUGAGGAGUACAUCUGUACUCCAUGUGAAAAUUCGGGUGUACUUUUGUAUAUUUUUCCUAUUUUGUUAGGUUGAGAAUGAGUUUUAUAUGA